CAAAGAAGACUCCCUUCAGGAGCCGAAAGGCGCAAAGGAAAUCCGGUCGAAAAUCCGGUGCGGUCCUGCCGCUGUAAUCUUGCCUGCUUUCCCACAAGCUACCGCCCACACGGUAUACCGGCAAGAAAGCCAGCCCCUUCCUGAAGUCAACCGGCACA
rnacentral:ncRNA from 2 species